rfam:Dipodomys ordii contig_58175, whole genome shotgun sequence.
GGGAAUAUGGCUUAGUGGUAGAGUGCUUGCCUAGCAUGCAUGAAGGAAGCCCUGGGUUCGAUUCCUCAUUACCA